rnacentral:rRNA from 1 species
UACAGAGGUCUCAAGCGUUGUUCGGAUUCAUUGGGCGUAAAGGGUGCGUAGGCGGCGCGGUAAGUCGGGUGUGAAAUCUUGGAGCUUAACUCCGAAACUGCAUUCGAUACUGCCGUGCUUGAGGACUGGAGAGGAGACUGGAAUUUACGGUGUAGCGGUGAAAUGCGUAGAUAUCGUAAGGAAGACCAGUGGCGAAGGCGGGUCUCUGGACAGUUCCUGACACUGAGGCACGAAAGCUGGGGGAGCAAACAGG